UUUGCUUUUUUUUCAAGAUUAAGCCAUGCAUGUGUAAGUACACACGGUACAAAGUGAAACUGCGAAUGGCUCAUUAAAUCAGUCAUGGUUUAUUUGAGGUGAAUCUUUACUUGGAUAACUCUGGUAAUUCUAGAGCUAAUACAUGCCAAAAAAGCGUUGCCUUCGGGAAACGCUACUGUUAUUAGUACCAAAACCAAUACGCCCCUCGGGACGUAGUGUCUGGCGAAUCUGAAUAACACGUGGAUCGCAUGGUCAUUGAACCGGCGACGCAUCUUUCAAGUGUCUGCCCUAUCAACUUUCGAUGGUAGGGUAUUGGCCUACCAUGGUUGUAACGGGUGACGGGGAAUUAGGGUUCGAUUCCGGAGAGGGAGCCUGAGAAACGGCUACCACAUCCAAGGAAGGCAGCAGGCGCGCAAAUUACCCACUCCCGACUCGGGGAGGUAGUGACGAAAAAUAACGAUACAGGACCGGUUCGGUCUUGCAAUUGGAAUGAGAACAUUUUAAAUCCUUUAUCGAGGAUCGAUUGGAGGGCAAGUCUGGUGCCAGCAGCCGCGGUAAUUCCAGCUCCAAUAGCGUAUAUUAAAGUUGCUGCAUUUAAAAAGCUCGUAGUUGGAUCUAGGGGUUCUUGACGUCGGUGCUCUCGCGAGCUUACUGGCGCUCGGACCCCUACAUUGUGCGGUUCUGGCUCGUCGUGCUCUUGACUGAGUGCGCGAUCUGGCCGCAGCGUUUACCUUGAAAAAAUUAGAGUGCUCAAAGCAGGCGUGCGCCUGGAUAGUUCAGCAUGGAAUAAUGGAACAGGACCUCGGUCCCGUUUUGUUGGUUUUAAGGACGGAGGUAAUGAUUAAGAGGGACAGACGGGGGCAUUCGUACUGCGGCGUUAGAGGUGAAAUUCUUGGACCGCCGCAUGACGAACUAGUGCGAAAGCAUUUGCCAAGAAAAUUUCCAUUAAUCAAGAACGAAAGUUAGAGGAUCGAAGGCGAUCAGAUACCGCCGUAGUUCUAACCAUAAACGAUGCCGACCGGCAAUCUGCAAAAGAGUGUUUAUCUUUGCAGGCAGCCCUGGGGAAACCAGAGUUUUCAGGUUAUGGGGGAAGUAUGGUUGCAAAGCUGAAACUUAAAGGAAUUGACGGAAGGGCACCACCAGGAGUGGAGCCUGCGGCUUAAUUUGACUCAACACGGGAAAACUCACCCGGCCCGGACACAGUAAGGAUUGACAGAUUGAGAGCUCUUUCUUGAUUCUGUGGGUGGUGGUGCAUGGCCGUUCUUAGUUGGUGGAGUGAUUUGUCUGGUUAAUUCCGAUAACGAACGAGACUCCAACCUGCUAAAUAGGCGUCUGAUCCUUUUGGAUGAGAAGGCCUUCUUAGAGGGACAAUCGGCGUUUAGCCGGAUGAGAUGGAGCAAUAACAGGUCUGUGAUGCCCUUAGAUGUUCGGGGCCGCACGCGCGCUACACUGAAAGAGUCAACGUGUGCCUACCCUACUCCGACAGGAGCGGGUAACCCUGUGAGCCCCUUUCGUGAUGGGGAUAGGGGAUUGCAAUUAUUCUCCUUGAACGAGGAAUUCCCAGUAAGUGCAAGUCAUAAGCUUGCAUUGAUUACGUCCCUGCCCUUUGUACACACCGCCCGUCGCUACUACCGAUUGAAUGAUUUAGUGAGGUCUCCGGAUCGGGGGACUUCUGGGAGCUUCGGCGCCCUUUGUCUUCUGAGAAGUUGAUCAAACUUGAUCAUUUAGAGGAAGUAAAAGUCGUAACAAGGA
rnacentral:rRNA from 1 species